AUUGAACGCUGGCGGCAGGCCUAACACAUGCAAGUCGAACGGUAACAGGAAGAAGCUUGCUUCUUUGCUGACGAGUGGCGGACGGGUGAGUAAUGUCUGGGAAACUGCCUGAUGGAGGGGGAUAACUACUGGAAACGGUAGCUAAUACCGCAUAACGUCGCAAGACCAAAGAGGGGGACCUUCGGGCCUCUUGCCAUCGGAUGUGCCCAGAUGGGAUUAGCUAGUAGGUGGGGUAACGGCUCACCUAGGCGACGAUCCCUAGCUGGUCUGAGAGGAUGACCAGCCACACUGGAACUGAGACACGGUCCAGACUCCUACGGGAGGCAGCAGUGGGGAAUAUUGCACAAAGGGCGCAAGCCUGAUGCAGCCAUGCCGCGUGUAUGAAGAAGGCCUUCGGGUUGUAAAGUACUUUCAGCGGGGAGGAAGGGAGUAAAGUUAAUACCUUUGCGCAUUGACGUUACCCGCAGAAGAAGCACCGGCUAACUCCGUG
rnacentral:rRNA from 1 species